rnacentral:lncRNA from 1 species
CAACAUCAAGGACACUGACAUGGGGGCUAUACUAUAGUGUCACCCCCCAACACUAAAGAAUUCAGGAGGUUAGUUAUGAAGCUAAUCAGGGAGGGAACAGAGAAAGGCAAAGCCCAAUGCAAGGAAAUCCAAAACAUAAUACAAGAAGUGAGGAGAGAAAUAUUCAAUGAAAUAGAUAGCUGAAAGACAAAACGAUAAAAAAUUCAGGAAACUUUGGACACACUUUUAGAAAUGCAAAAUGCUCAGGAAAGUCUCAGCAAUAGAAUUGAACAGAUAGAU